rnacentral:rRNA from 1 species
UACGUAGGUGGCGAGCGUUAUCCGGAAUUAUUGGGCGUAAAGGGUGCGUAGGCGGCGAGUUAAGUUUGUGGUGAAAGCGUGAGGCUCAACCUCAUUAAGCCAUAGAUACUGGCUUGCUAGAGUACUGGAGAGGGAAGUGGAAUUCCAUGUGUAGCGGUAAAAUGCGUAGAUAUAUGGAGGAACACCGGUGGCGAAGGCGGCUUCCUAGCCAGUAACUGACGCUGAGGCACGAAAGCGUGGGGAGC